UACGAAGGGGGCUAGCGUUGUUCGGAAUCACUGGGCGUAAAGCGCACGCAGGCGGAUCGUUAAGUCAGGGGUGAGAUGCCGAGGCUCAACCUCGGAACUGCCUUUGAUACUGGCGAUCUUAGAGUCCGGGAGAGGUGAGUGGAACUCCGAGUGUAGAGGUGAAAUUCGUAGAUAUUCGGAAGAACACCAGUGGCGAAGGCGGCUCACUGGCCCGGUACUGACGCUCAGGUGCGAAAGCGUGGGGAGCAAACAGG
rnacentral:rRNA from 1 species